GGAAAACUCACCAGGUCCAGACAUAAUAAGGAUUGACAGAUUGAUAGCUCUUUCUUGAUUUUAUGGGUGGUGGUGCAUGGCCGUUCUUAGUUCGUGGAGUGAUUUGUCUGCUUAAUUGCGUUAACGAACGAGACCUUAACCUGCUAAAUAGGAGCUCCUAUCUACGGAUAAGAGUAUUUCUUCUUAGAGGGACUUUACGUGUUUCAACGUGAGGAAGUUUGAGGCUAAAA
rnacentral:rRNA from 1 species